rnacentral:hammerhead_ribozyme from 1 species
AAACUGCUGAGGAGUUCCACAAUAGGACGAAACGGCCGUCCAGUGC